GUCUGACCGGGCCAAGUUUCGGUAUUCUUGUAAGGAUCAUGAUAUAUGUAGGGCUAACUAUUUGGUUUUCAAUAACGUGACGUUUUCUGUCCUUUUAUACCAUUUUAUUUUCAGGUCUAAAUUUUCAGUCUUGUAAUGCAUGUUAUCUAUCUAAUAAUAAGGUGUUAUAUGUGUUCUGUCUUGAAUUAAAAUUACAUAUGUCUUGAUGAUGCUUUGUUUCCAGGUCCAGCUGUGAAGAUUAAUAUGCCAACUCAAACUACAAUUGAAAACAACCUCACCAGAGCCAGCAGCCAGGAGCAGCAGCAGUACAGCUACAGAGAACAUGGUUUGUUUUGAAGCUGAACUGGAAGAAGAUGCCCUGUUCUACACCUGACACCUUAUAAGGCUCAGCGAGAGGAGAAUGACCCACAGUGCCUUUUGCAUAAUUCAAAGAGGCGUCAAAUGUUGGUUGAGAUGCUACACGACCAGGGGGCAAGAUCAGAUCAUUUACACGUUUUUGCAUUAUUUGAUAGCGCGUUAUUGAAAGAUUUUUUUUAUAUUUACAUAUUUUUAAGUGUUAUUAAGAUUUACAAUCAUACAUAUCAUUAUUAAUAUUUGCUUGUAUUAAAAAAAUAACAUUGAUAUAAUUAAAAAUGUCAUGUGAGAAUAAAGUCCGUUUUAAGAUGUAAACUUUGUGUUAGUGUGCAAAGUCUUGUAUGGAUCAUGACAUAUGUAGGGCUAACUUUUUAUUUUUAAUAGCGUGAGGUUUUUUGUCGUUUUAUACAAUUUUAUUUUCAGGUAUAAAUUUUGAGUCUUGUAAUGCAUGUUAUUUGUCUGAUAAUAAGGUGUUAUAUGUGUACUGUCUUGAAUUAAAAUGACAUAUGUCCGGCU